rnacentral:rRNA from 2 species
GUGCCUAAUACAUGCAAGUCGAACGAGUUCUCGUUGAUGAUCGGUGCUUGCACCGAGAUUCAACAUGGAACGAGUGGCGGACGGGUGAGUAACACGUGGGUAACCUGCCCUUAAGUGGGGGAUAACAUUUGGAAACAGAUGCUAAUACCGCAUAGAUCCAAGAACCGCAUGGUUCUUGGCUGAAAGAUGGCGUAAGCUAUCGCUUUUGGAUGGACCCGCGGCGUAUUAGCUAGUUGGUGAGGUAAUGGCUCACCAAGGCGAUGAUACGUAGCCGAACUGAGAGGUUGAUCGGCCACAUUGGGACUGAGACACGGCCCAAACUCCUACGGGAGGCAGCAGUAGGGAAUCUUCCACAAUGGACGCAAGUCUGAUGGAGCAACGCCGCGUGAGUGAAGAAGGCUUUCGGGUCGUAAAACUCUGUUGUUGGAGAAGAAUGGUCGGCAGAGUAACUGUUGUCGGCGUGACGGUAUCCAACCAGAAAGCCACGGCUAACUACGUGCCAGCAGCCGCGGUAAUACGUAGGUGGCAAGCGUUAUCCGGAUUUAUUGGGCGUAAAGCGAGCGCAGGCGGUUUUUUAAGUCUGAUGUGAAAGCCCUCGGCUUAACCGAGGAAGCGCAUCGGAAACUGGGAAACUUGAGUGCAGAAGAGGACAGUGGAACUCCAUGUGUAGCGGUGAAAUGCGUAGAUAUAUGGAAGAACACCAGUGGCGAAGGCGGCUGUCUGGUCUGUAACUGACGCUGAGGCUCGAAAGCAUGGGUAGCGAACAGGAUUAGAUACCCUGGUAGUCCAUGCCGUAAACGAUGAAUGCUAGGUGUUGGAGGGUUUCCGCCCUUCAGUGCCGCAGCUAACGCAUUAAGCAUUCCGCCUGGGGAGUACGACCGCAAGGUUGAAACUCAAAGGAAUUGACGGGGGCCCGCACAAGCGGUGGAGCAUGUGGUUUAAUUCGAAGCAACGCGAAGAACCUUACCAGGUCUUGACAUCUUUUGAUCACCUGAGAGAUCAGGUUUCCCCUUCGGGGGCAAAAUGACAGGUGGUGCAUGGUUGUCGUCAGCUCGUGUCGUGAGAUGUUGGGUUAAGUCCCGCAACGAGCGCAACCCUUAUGACUAGUUGCCAGCAUUUAGUUGGGCACUCUAGUAAGACUGCCGGUGACAAACCGGAGGAAGGUGGGGAUGACGUCAAAUCAUCAUGCCCCUUAUGACCUGGGCUACACACGUGCUACAAUGGAUGGUACAACGAGUUGCGAGACCGCGAGGUCAAGCUAAUCUCUUAAAGCCAUUCUCAGUUCGGACUGUAGGCUGCAACUCGCCUACACGAAGUCGGAAUCGCUAGUAAUCGCGGAUCAGCACGCCGCGGUGAAUACGUUCCCGGGCCUUGUACACACCGCCCGUCACACCAUGAGAGUUUGUAACACCCGAAGCCGGUGGCGUAACCCUUUUAGGGAGCGAGCCGUCUAAGGUGGGACAAAUGAUUAGGGUGAAG